GAUGAACGCUGGCGGCGUGCUUAACACAUGCAAGUCGAGCGAAGCGCGAUUGCGGAUUUCUUCGGAUUGAAGCAACUGUGAACUGAGCGGGCGUAGGGCAAGGUACGCCUAGGUAACGUGCGUCAUACAGGGGAUAACAGUUGGAACGGCUGCUAAUACCGUCAUAAGCGCACAGUACCGCAAUAGGGUACCGUGUGAAAAACUCCGGUGGUUAUGAGAUGGGACCCUGUCUGAUUAGCUAGUUGGUGGGGUAACGGCCUACCAAGGCGACGAUCAGUAGCCGACCUGAGAGGGUGACCGGCCACAUUGGGACUGAGACACGGCCCAA
rnacentral:rRNA from 1 species